ensembl:lncRNA LINC01884 long intergenic non-protein coding RNA 1884
GGAGAUAGCCUCGUAGAAAUGACAACCACAAUGUUAAUACUAACAUAUGUAUUACAUGGUUUGUUUGUUCUUUCGCUUAAUAUUUUCAGAGCACCUACCUAUUAUAGGCACUGUCACUUCUCACAAAACUGGGACAACUAACUGUUUAUCCAACAUCUGCUGGCUAAAUAAAGACAUGAUCUUCACCUUUUGGGAUUGUUAAUUUAAAAUGGUUCCAUAAGAGCAAUGCAAAGACAGAGAUAUUUGGCAGCACUGCAGCUGGUGAUUUAUAUGGCUCUUCACAAGGUGUUAUUUUGGGGUGAGUGAUCAUUUUAAUGAUCUUGUUUCAAAUGGUCACACCCUACGUUCAUCAGGACAUUCUAGCCUUUUGCACAAAGACUUAGAUGUACAAACAUGCAGGAUUCAUAGCAAUUAACUCCUACCCUCAUUCUUUUAUCUGUUCUCUUUCCUGCCUUUGUUGCUGUCCCUUACCCCUCCCUUCUUUCUCUUUGUCAUCCUUUUUUCUUGUCCUGGAUAGGAUUACUUGACUAUUUGAUUAUUACAAUAGAGUUUUCUAAAGAUUCACCAUCAGAAUGAUUUAACUGACAUUUAAACAUAUUAUUAAGGAAGUAGGAUGUUGCUUGAAGGUCAUAGUUUGGAUUUGAAGUUUAAAGGUUUUCAUAAUGUUUAGUAAAGGUAUCAUAAAUGCCAUCUCUCCAAAACUAGUAUUCCCAUAGUCAAUGACAAUUGGAUUUAUUCAGGACUUAAAUUUAUUUAGCUUUGCCAUGUAAUAUUUGUCAAAAAAGAUUGCAGUUUCCAGGAAGUUCUUGUUUUGCACACUUGCUUCUUUGGCUAGCCUUGGCAGACACCUGAGACCUGUGAGGAUAGUCUGUGUGAGGUGCUGCAUGUCCUCAUGUUCCUUCUCAGAUAGAGUGGAGGCACCCACCAGACCAUAGUUUCCCAUUUUCUCAAAGGCAAACAUCUACAUCACAGGUGUGAUCUGGGGUUUAAAGUGGGAGAAGUUUGGUGGGGCAAAGUUCAUUUAUCAGUCUAAACCCAACUAAAUAGUAGACUAAACUCUCUCCAUGGAACGGCCAUUUGAAUGAAUUAUCUAUCAUAAGUGAGUUCAUGAACUAAAACUUCUCACUAAAUUAGGUUUGCUCUAUACACAACAUAUUCCAAAGGCUACUGUCUGUAUUAUGUCCUACAGGUAUCAAGGUAUGGAUGCUUAAAUCAGCUGCAGGAAGUAAGAAAGAAGAAAAAAGGAGUGAUAAAGAUAAAAAAAAAUCAACCUUGGUCCUUCCACCAAGACCCAUUAAUUUCCAUAUCAUCAUCUGCAUAAGAGGGAAGAUUCCUACAUGACCAGGUUACUGCAAGGAUGUGAAUUUUGAAUAUUAAAAUAUUAUACACAAUUGGAAAUAA